UCAAAUUUUCUCAUUCUGAAUCUUACAAAAGUAUAAAUACAUUUGUCUCUAUAUUACUAUAUAUAUUUGACACACGGUGAGUUCGAUUAUUAAUCCUACUUUAACGAACUGUUAACGGGAUUACCUGGAUCAUCUUAUCAUCGUCCCCGUCAUUGGCAUGAUUUUCAUCCUCUGUCUUCUGCGACUCUUUCCACUCUUCCUCGUUGGGUAUCGGCAACCCCAACAAUUCUGCUCGUUCGCACGCGUGGAGAUAAGCCUGAGACAUUUUAUCGGAGACGAAACAAUUCCACAACAGUAACAGAUGUGCAACAAUACAGCACACGGAUCUUUCGUUCUCUAAAGACACUGAAAUUCACUGGACGUCGGAGGGUGAGAAAGACGUGAACCACUUGGAGGAUCCAUGUUACCAGAAAUCGUGCGCAAACUCCGUUAGGAAAUAAAAUACAUAAUCCCAGAGGGUUUGCGGAAACCAAUACGAUUCUUACAAGGAACACCCGCGAACUAUACUACACUUUGUUGGAACUUCACAGGUUUACGGAGACCUAAAAUAACCCUGAACACGAUAUUAUAAAGGUGAAACGUCUAAAGGUAUUCCACUCCUUACAAGUUACUCGAAAAAGUUCUGGCUGGUCUAGACAUUAGCAAGAUCGCAUUGAAAGCACGAAAAAUAAAAGAACAAGUUGGAGUUGAAUGCUCUUGAAAAUCUGAUCGAUUAACAACUGGAUAUAGAUGUGUUAAUUGAAACGACCACUGUAUUAAAAAUCGUUUGUAUUUAUAUAGGGCGCUAGGAAAGUUUUAUCAUACAACUAUACUUAAUUUAAUUUCUUCAUUCUAUUGACUGCAAUCCAGAAACAGUUUUUGUUAACUAAAUUAUCGCAACAAGCAGCACGAAAACACACAGACACACACACACGCACGUGUACUCGUACACAGAAAAAAAACACUCGUCGUAUAAACUCUUGUAAAUAAAUGAAUAACCAGUAUGCAAAUACUUUGUACAACUAUGGUUCGAGACAACAGUCGUGUACGACACGCUUUCCGUAAAACUCAAAACUUCAAAUGUAACAACGUUCGUCUUAGAGCCAUUGGCUGUUCGGGGGUUGAAAAACGUAACAAAUUUUAUAAAAAGCAGUGCUGUAUUAAGUAUGAGAUGUUUAAUAUAUAUUUUAAUAGUAUUAGGCUAUUACCAUAAUAAAUAUAUAAUGCAAACGUA